CCGAAACCAGGUGAUCUACCCUUGGUCAGGUUGAAGUUCAGGUAACACUGAAUGGAGGACCGAACCGACUUACGUUGAAAAGUGAGCGGAUGAACUGAGGGUAGCGGAGAAAUUCCAAUCGAACCUGGAGAUAGCUGGUUCUCUCCGAAAUAGCUUUAGGGCUAGCCUCAAGUGAUGAUUAUUGGAGGUAGAGCACUGUUUGGACGAGGGGCCCCUCUCGGGUUACCGAAUUCAGACAAACUCCGAAUGCCAAUUAAUUUAACUUGGGAGUCAGAACAUGGGUGAUAAGGUCCGUGUUCGAAAGGGAAACAGCCCAGACCACCAGCUAAGGUCCCAAAAUAUAUGUUAAGUGGAAAAGGAUGUGGCGUUGCCCAGACAACUAGGAUGUUGGCUUAGAAGCAGCCAUCAUUUAAAGAGUGCGUAAUAGCUCACUAGUCGAGUGACACUGCGCCGAAAAUGUACCGGGGCUAAACAUAUUACCGAAGCUGUGGAUUGUCCUUUGGACAAUGGUAGGAGAGCGUUCUAAGGGCGUUGAAGCAUGAUCGUAAGGACAUGUGGAGCGCUUAGAAGUGAGAAUGCCGGUGUGAGUAGCGAAAGACGGGUGAGAAUCCCGUCCACCGAUUGACUAAGGUUUCCAGAGGAAGGCUCGUCCGCUCUGGGUUAGUCGGGUCCUAAGCUGAGGCCGACAGGCGUAGGCGAUGGAUAACAGGUUGAUAUUCCUGUACCACCUAUAAUCGUUUUA
rnacentral:rRNA from 1 species